AAUAAACUGAUGAUGGUAAAGGGGAUGGAAGUUGAGUGUGUACCGUAUGUCCGGAUCUGGUUAAAAAGUGAUCACCCGCUCCGUAUGCUGCACGAAAACUAAAGCGGCUCCAGUUUUCAAAGACGAAAAGGUCCAGUGAAGCAGACAAAGAGUGGAUAGGAGGACAGUGCACCCUUGACAUCGAGACUGUGCCAUUCUCACUCAGUCUCUUAGGACAGGGAUGGAAAGAAGACCGACAGAUGCACCAAGCUGUGAGAUGAAGAGACCUUACAUCUGGAUGAAGAGACCUUAAACUGCACCCUGGACUCUGUUUGGCCCUAAGGAGAAUUCGAUAAAAGUUUAUACAAUUAGGAAGGUUUGUAGAACCAGUGAGGCUGUUCCCAUCCUGCAUGGAAUCCCAUGGAGCAUUUAGACUUAAGGACUUCAUAGAGCCCACUGACUCUUUCUGUAGGUCUCCCAGCAAAUCUUUCUUCUUUGGGAUAACCAACUACAAAGCAAAAAAGUCACAGUAAAUAUUAUUCAUCAGCAUAGUAAGAUAUGGGAAUAAAUCACUUGUUGCACACCUAUGCUAAAUAUUUUGCAUGUACAUACAAACAAUGUUUCUACCCAAUACAUCUCCAGAGGCUGUGAAGCACCAUAACAGAUACAAAACAAGAAAAGCAGCACUUUAUAUGUUCAGUGCAUAAUGUAAAUUGCCACAACAAAUCAGGCCCUGCUUUCUUUUAGUCCAGAAAAAAGAGGAUGAAGAAGAAGAAGAAACAGUGCAAGUAUCUUAUAUUCAAGUGUUCAUUUUUUGUGUUAUAUAUGGGAAAAACCUAUAAGCAGGCAUCUUACCAAUAUUGUUAAAUCCAUACGAUUCUCUUGCUUUUGCCUCUGUAUAUUCUGUGGUUGUCCAUUUUCCAUACCUAUUUGGAUCUACCUCUAUUAGAUCAAAAGGAGGCUCCCCAGCAAUUAUCCAGUCACUGAGAUAUUUUCCUAUGCCACCAGCGUGGAUUAUGCCAUAUCUGAAAAAAACAGACAAUUACAUCCCCAACUUAUUUAUUUAUUUAACUAACAUAUUUUUAUACCACCCAAAACUUACAUCUCUGGCUGAUUUACAACAAAAUAAAAACAGAAAGUAAAACAUUAGUUAAAACAAAAACAAAAAGUUUAAAACAUCACAACAAUUUAAAUUUUUUUAAACAAUAUUUUAAAACAGCAUUAAAACCAUUAAAACAAUAUUAAACCUGGGUGAACAGAUGCGUCUUUAAAGACUUUUUAAAAGCUGUCAAAGACGGGGAGGCUCUUAUUUCACUAGGGAGUUAUAUCACAAAACAUUUCAUCACAGGCCUUGAGGAUUAUAAACUCACUGCUAGAAAUUAUUAGUAACAUAGGAACCUGCCUUCUACUGAGUUGGACUAUUGGUCCAUCUAACUCAGUAUUGUCUACACAGACUGGCUGUGGCUUCCCAAGGUUGCAAGAGGUAACUUUGAACUUUCUGCAUACAGAUGCGCUUCCCAGAGUGGCCCUAUCACCUAAGGGGAAUAUCUUACAGUGCUCACACAUCAUGUAGUCUCCCUUUCAAAUGCAAACCAGGUUGGACCCUGCUUAGCAAAGGAGACAGGUCAUGCUUGCUACCACAAGACCAGUUCUCCUCCCUGUUCUUCUGCUUGUGCUAAUGAUUGACAAGCUUGAUUGGUAAUUAGAUAAUGUUUUAAUAGUUUGUUUAACUUUUUAAAUUUUAAAUUGUUGUAAUGUUUUAACCUUUUUAUUUGCAAUUUUUAUUUUGUUGUAAACCACCCAGAGACUUGCAUUUUGAGCGGUAUACAAAUAUGUUAAAUAUAAAUACAGACAUUCUAGUUUUCAGCUAGUGCAAACCUCAGUGAGUCAGACAAGGUCAACAAAAAAAAUUAUGAUUAGACUGGGAAAUCUGCGACAAAGGCUGUAAUCCGCUACACCUAGCGACUGCUCUCCCUAUCUUGGCAACUGCCUAGAGAUAGCUGUCCAAUCGUGCCCCCUCCCAUCCUGCCUGCCCAUGUGGACAUGUGCAAUUUUGCUUGUGCUUGCAAUGGUGACCCCACUUUCCUGGGGUCACUGGAAAUUGGGACUCCCCUCUCCGAUUCCCCAUGCCAGCAGAUUUGCAUGUGGUGUAAAGCCAGACCAAACUUGGGAAUUUUGAAUGGGAAUAAUGAUCCUUCCCUGUACCUGGUAUCCCCCCCACCCUGCCUGCAUCCACACAUGUGGCCAGGCUCUGACACAUGGAGCGACAAUAUCUACUUUAGUUGUGUGCAAAGGAUUCCCAGGGGAGGAGGGGGUAGCAUUGCAAUUUUUUUUAUCUUUGAUCAGAGUAGAGCCCCUUUUGUUGGGUUAGCUCAACUCAUGAGCAUGUAGUCUGAUGGAAGACCUAGGGUUUUGCACCCGAUGGUCCUCCCCAGUAGCCUGGCUCUCUCAUGAGAAUGAAAGCCCACUGUCAGCAAGCUGCCAGCAGAACAGAAGUGUGGUUUGGUCUGCAUGGACUGCAGCUCUCAUAAAGUCAUGCCGGGACAGACCCCCAAGGAUCUUUGAUCCCUUGGCCUCCCUCAUAUACAUAUCCCCUCCUAAAGAUAAUCAUGUUCCCUUCCCUAUCCUGAGUAACAGGGAUAUAGUGCCCCACAACCCCCCCCCUUCGAAACCUUGUUUGUGCGGGACUAUUUUGGUACAGGACUCUUGUGGGGGUGGCAGUACCAAUGCUGUCAGAAGAAGGGAUUUAAAUGCCCUUUCCCUGCUGAGGACAGGCGGACCGGAGAGGAGAGCUGGUCCUGUGGUAGCAAGCAUGACUUGUUCCCUUAGCUAAGCAAGGUUGUCCUGACUGCAUAUGAAUGGAAGACUAGAAGUGUGAGCACUGUAAGAUAUUCCCCUCAGGGAAUGGAGCCGCUCUGGGAAGAGCAGAAGGUUCCAAGUUCCCUCCUUGGCUUCUCCAAGAUAGGGCUGAAAGAGAUUCCUGCCUGCAACCUUGGAGAAGCCGCUGCCAGUCUGUGAAGACAACACUAAGCUAGAUAGACCAAUGGUCUGACUCAGUAUAUGGCAGUUUCCUAUGUUCCUAUGUUAUACUGUUCUGAAAAUGCAUGAUCACGUUUGGCAUGCCCCCUUCAAGAUCGUGGCCAAUCGUGACUGCUCUGCUGAUAUGCUGACACUUUGGACACAGUCUGGCCAUGGAGCUUGCUGGGAUCAGCCUCAGCGGCCAAGAAAGACGGAGGGGCUUCCCUCUCCUGAAACCAGAAGUUGCUAAACUGUGAUUGGACAAACGCCUGUGAUACAAUUCAUGGUUUCAAAAUGAAACCACAGAUUUGUCGACCUUGGUUUUACGUUACAUCUGAAUGCAGCCAAUGUGUCUAUGUCACCAUGUGUUCAUGCAGUAGGUAACUGCUGCUUCUAACUGCAGCUUCUCACUGCAUAUACACAUGACAAAACGUCACAUAGAUAUUAUUAUUAUUAUUAUUUAUUUUAUAUAUGUGCAUGACAUAUGCAAGCAUCAUGUAAUUCCCUACAAGGUAGUGUAUUCUGUCUUAUGAAAUACAUCUUAUAUGAAGCAGCCUUCAAAGGACAAUCCUGUGUGUGACUAUAUGUCCAUCUUAGCCAUUCAUCUAUAAAAUGAGAAAAAUAGAGACCUCAUAUAUGAUUGCUGAGAAGAUGAAUGAGAUCUUUAAAAAUUGGAUAGCUGUGCUAAGCCUUACAGUUAGGGCACACUAUACAUUUUAUACAUUUAAAUUAAUAAUAAAACAAUUGCAACAAGUGGAGCUUACAUGACAAAGCAGAAUUAAUAUGAUUAGGACUGUGCACUUCAGUAAAAGUUGGAAUUCUACUUUGGAAUUCCCAGCCCCCACCACUAGGAGGCAGCUCCACACAGGGGCUGCAUUCAGAGUGGGUGGAACCUUCCUGAUCCAACCUGAGCAGGAUCUAAAAUUAUCUGAAUGGACAUCCAAAAACUUGUGUGUGCUCACACAAGUGCAUGUCUUGGAAGGAAAACUGAUGCGCACACAUAUACCCACUUAACUGUGAAUAAGCCUUGUUGAAUUCAAUGGGACUGGCUCAGUCUGGGGGGAGGGAACAAUUGCCCAGUUAUGCCCAACCUUCAGACACCAAUGUUUAUUUCUACUAAUGGUUUAUUUCAUUUGAAAUUUUACAAUGUAUUGUCCAAAACAUUAGGAUAUUUAUUAAGCUAGGAAAACUGCCUUCCACUGAUGGAAUUUCCAAAAUGGACAUGAUACAGAUGUUGAGAAUGAUUUAGGAAUCCUUAACUGAUUUUCAAUAAGGUCAACAGCAGAAUUGUCAUUUGCUAUCAUAGCACUAUAGCCAGGUCAAAAUACUACCCUAUUUACUGGAAGGGUGAUGUUCUGAAGUCUGUGCUGUGGACUGUUUGAAAAUUUUCAUUUUAACUUUUUAUCAAAUACCUUCAGAUUCUUAAAGAAAAAUGUAUUUUGACACUAAUACAGUCUGCAGUGAUUAAUCUUUCUUAUUUUAAAAAACUGGAAAACUGUGUAAUCUUAGAUAUGACAGUGAAGCUAUUCACAUGAUUGCUCAAAACUGGGCUGGGCUCCCUUAGCUCAGUUCUGAGCAAACGUGAAAACCACUAGGCUCGUGGGUGAGCCCGGUGGUUCUCGGCCGGCUAGCCUGCCUAACUACCCCUCACCCUAAACAAGGUUAAUGGAGCAAGCCCUCCGUCAACCUUGUUUAUUUGAUCAUGUGUCAAAUGACACACUGGGGUGGGGGGGAUCCCAGGAAGCCACCGUGCACUCACACGGUGCCUUCCUGAAGUUUGGGGAGCCGGGGGGCCACAUGGUGGUGCUCUCCUUCCCCAGAGCUCCCGAAGGAGCUGCGGCCGGGCGCGGGAGUACCCAACUGGAGCAGCCACUCAUCUGGGCAGCCAAUCUGGCCACCCAGCAACGAGCAACUGUCCGUGUUCAGAGAGAGUGGGCUAAGCCCGCUCUCCCCACACAAACCCUGUCUGGCGCUUCACACCAAUCAUGUGAAGUGCCUCAUAUGUAAAGAGAAUAAAAGAUAAGCAGUUAGGCUGUGGACUAAAGAUUAAGUGAUAAGAGAACGUGCAAACAUAUUAUAGUUCUAGUUACACUUCACUGGAACCAAAUUCAUCUUGCCCAGUUUUUCUUGAACAACUAUUGCAUGAGGUUACCUGAGUGUUAACUGUGGUUUACAUACUACAAUUAAAUCUGCAUUUGAAACCAAAGCGGAAUGUUUUAAAUGCUGGUUUAAUCUUGGUUUGUAAAUGCCUUUUUUCCAGGUAAAAACCCAGGUUCUGAUGAUCCACAGACAUUUGGUUUAAACUUCCAUGAUUGCACCAUAAACAAAAUUCAGCAAAAGAGCUGGGAAGGGGAAGGGGAAGGGGAAGCAGGAAGCAUGUGGGCCUGGGCAUGUUGGUUUAUUCAGUCAUGCCAUGUAUUGUGCUUCUGUACAAGCCAGCCUGUUUCAGUCUCAGAUGGGGUUGCCUGCAUCUCUAAGGAGGCAUGAGCUGGGAUUGCUGUAACUAACACAGGGGCGUAAGUAUAAUAGGGCAAGGGGAGACAGUUGUCUGGGGGCCCCCUGCCUUGGGGCCCCCCCAGAAGCAAUUCACAUGACUGACUCCCCCAGCUGUGCACCCGCCUGGGCUUCUUUCAGUUGUAUUCAUCCUCUGAAAUUGAUGUGAGUGUUAAGACCUGGAGCUACCAGAACAGCAUGUCUUUCUCUAGUACCAUUAAAUGACUCGCAUCGUCCACAAUUUACAAAACCAUUUGGAGCUGAGCUUCGGG